rfam:Rattus norvegicus chromosome 10, whole genome shotgun sequence.
GGGGAUUUGGCUCAGUGGUAAAGCGCUUGCCUAGCAAGCGCAAGGCCCUGGGUUCGAUCCCCAGCUCCG